rnacentral:tmRNA from 1 species
GCCCUUCACAUUCGGGAUCGCAAGCCCUAUAUCGGGCCUCGCCGGUUUCGGCCGGCUAUGGCGAUAAAUUGCUGCGUGCAAUAGAUGCAACGGACCCGGGGGCAGUACCCGGCGGCUCCACCAGAAGCAGCGGCCUCCCGACGGGGCGCCGCAUCUCCUGACGGGGCCGAACCAGGAUCGACGUGUGUUGAAAAGCGUGGUUUUCGCCCGGGCUGAGUAACCCGUUAAAGGCUCAAAACCCAUAAGUGCCAACGACAACGAAGCACUUGCUCUCGCCGCGUAAUGUGACGGCCUAACGGCCUGAAUUUACUAAGCUCAGAGCACGGUUCGGACCGAACCGGGUAACAGAAUCGGAAACC